UUUUGCUGAUUUCAAACUGAACACUGGAUAGAAAAUAAAUAUUUUCCUUUUAGUUCCAAUGAUCAUAAAAGUUCCCAACAUGUGAGGACAAAUAAAAAGUCAAAAGUUUCCAAGUGAAGAAGAAAAAGUGUUUCUGCAGAUGAAGUGAAAUGUGGAGUAAAUCGCUCCAGAUCUCCUCCGUUGUUGUUCUGAACAUGUUGAGCAGUAAAUGUUGAUUCAUCAGCUCAGCUCGGACCUGUGGCUUCUGGAUCUUCUUAAUAAAUAAAUGCUUUCCUCGUAAAUUUGUCAUUAAAAAAUCACCACAUUUUUACACUUUGCAAAAUUUUGUGAAAAACAUGCCGAGGGAAGAAAUGAGGCGGGGAAAAGUGUUUAUGGUUUGAUCAGAGGACUGCUGGCUGCUUGGAGAGCUUCACUUCUUCACUUCUCUUCGUCUUCACACUUCACACCAAACACUUUACAGAUUCUCUUCGGCGACUCUCGUUCAGCUCGGCCGUAAAUCCACCGGCAGACUGAAGCUUUGUUUCUUCAUCUUUACGCAGGAAUACUUUCUCUGGGCCUCGACCUCAGAGGGAACAGUUAAAGCCCGACGAGCCGAGCAGAGUCACGUUUCUACAAACGGGAGAGUUUCCGGAGUCUUCGGCAGUGAUGAAGCAGGUGAAGACACCUGUGCUGUGAGAGGAGGCGGAGCCUCAGGUGGGUCCGGUUCAAGUUCUGGAGAAUCAGGUUUUGUUCUCCAGUGGCUCCGACUCGGUUUGUGUGAACAGAAGGAGAAGCAAAGAUUUGAUCAGAUAAAAGAUGGCGGAGAAGCAGGACGUCCAGCAGGAAGUGGAUUUUGAGGAAAAACUUUUCAACGUUCGCAGUGAGUUUGUGAAGAGGGUUUCUGAGGAAAUCCUGAUUCAGCUCCUCGAUAACCUGGAAACGGAUGGUAUCUUUAAUCUUUUGGAGAAGCGGGCAAUACUUGAAGAGAACCCAUCAACAGCAAACAAGGCCCGGAAGACCAUAGAUGAUGUGAUAAUGAAAGGACAGAGAGCCUGCAGAUUGAUGAUCAAACGUCUUCAAUUUAUAGAUCCUACCCUGUCCAAUCAGCUGAGUUUGACCUCCAACUCCUCUGAUUUAGAUUUUGAUGAUCGAUGUCAACAAGACCACAAACAGUCUCUAAGGAAAACCUUCGAAUACUUCGCCCACUGUGAAGGCGUUGCAAAAAGGGAAGAGACAACAUUUCUGAAUGAUAUUUUCACAGAGCUCUACAUCUUAGAAGGAAUAACUGGAGAGGUCAACCAGGAACAUGAGGUCAGACAGAUUGAAACAGCAUCCAGGAAUCAAGCGACAAAAAUAAAACUGGAAGACAUCUUUGAACCCAACCCUGCUAGAAAGCAACGGAUCAGAACAGUGAUGACCAUGGGAGUGGCUGGCAUUGGGAAAACACUGUUAACACAGAAGUUCACUCUGGACUGGGCUGAAGGCAAAACCAACCAGAACAUUGAUUUCAUAUUUCCAUUCACUUUCAGAGAGCUGAAUAACAUUAAAGAAGACACUUUCAGCUUAGUGGGACUGAUUCAUCACUUCUUUGACAAUAUUAAAGAUGCAGAAAUCUGCAGCUUUAAAAAGUUCCACGUUCUUUUCAUUUUCGAUGGUCUGGAUGAGAGUCAACUUCCUCUGAACUUCAGGAAGAAUCCAGUCCUGACUGAUGUUAAAAAGUCAACCUCACUGGAUGUUCUGCUGACAAACAUCAUCAUGGGGAAACUGCUUCCCUCUGCUCUCCUCUGGAUAACCACACGACCUGCAGCAGCUAGUUUGAUUCCAAAUAAGUCUAUUGACAGGGUCAUAGAGGUCAGAGGGUUCACUGACCCCCAGAAGGAGGAAUACUUCAGGAAGAGAUUCAGAGAUGAUGAAGAGAAGGCCAACAGGAUCAUCUCCCACAUCCAGAAAUCAAAAACUCUCCACAUCAUGUGUCACAUCCCAGUUUUCUGCUGGAUCACUAGUAAUGUUCUGGAGAAUAUGAUGGAGACCAGAGAGGGAGGAGAUCUGCCCAAGACCCUGACUGAGAUGUACAUAGAGUUCCUGGAGAUUCAACUGAAAAUCAAGGAGGAAAAGUAUUUUGAAAAAGCUGAAGAAGAUCCAGAGAACAGGAAACUGAUUGAGUCUCUAGGAAAACUGGCUUUUGAUCAGCUGCUGAAGGGAAACCUGAUCUUCUAUGACAAAGAGCUCAAACAGUGUGACAUCAACAUCAAAGAUGCUGCGUUGUUCUCAGGAGUUUUCACUAAAAUGUUUAAAAAGGAGAGAGGGACGCGUGACAUCUCCGUCUACUCCUUUGUUCAUCUGAGCAUCCAGGAGUUUCUGGCUGCAGUCUACAUGCUCCACUGUUUCACCAGCAGGAAGUCAGAGGUGAUCCAGACGUUCCUGGGAGAAAAAUACAGAGAAACAUCUCUAGAUGAGUUCAUGAAGAAAGUCAUGGAGAAAUCCCUCAGCAGUAAAAACGGCCACCUCGACCUGUUUGUCCGCUUCCUUCAUGGUCUCACUGUGGAGUCCAGCCAGAACCUCUUAGAAGAUCUGCUGGGUCAGAGAGAGAACAGUCCAGAAACCAUCCAGAGAAUCAUCACCAACCUGAAGGAGAUGAACACUAAAAGAAUCUCUCCUGACAGAAGAAUCAACAUCUUCUACUGUCUGGUGGAGAUGAACGAUCUCUCAUUUUAUCAGGAGAUCCAACGGCUGCUGGAUUCAGGGAAGGAGCUCUCAGAUACUGACUGUUCAGCUCUGGCCUUCAUGCUGCAGAUGUCAGAGGUUCUGGAUGAGUUGGACCUGGAGAAGUACAACACAUCAUCAAAUGGACGACGGAGACUGGUUCCAGCUGUGAGGAACUGCAGAAAGGCUCGACUUGGUGGCUGUUCACUCGAUAAGGAUGAAUGUGAAGUUUUGGCCUCAGCGCUGAAGUCCAACCCAGAUCUGACUGAACUGGAAAUAAAUCAGAUCAACAUAUAUAAAGGUGGAGAAUCUGAUCUGAAGCCUGUGGUUGAGAUCCUGGAGAGUUCAGUCAGUAAAGUGAAGAAUCUGAGAUUGAGGAGCUGCAGUUUGUCAGAGACCAGCUGGACUUCUCUGUUCUCAACUCUGAAGUCCAAACCGACCCAACUGACAAAACUGGACCUCAACAGAACCAACCUGGAAGGUUCUGUAGUGAAGGAUCUCUGUGGUUUUCUACAGACUGAAGGCUGCAGACUGGAGACAUUGAGAUUGGAGGGCUGCAGUUUGUCAGAGACCAGCUGGACUUCUCUGUUCUCAACUCUGAAGUCCAAACCGACCCAUCUGACAGAACUGGACCUGAGCUACACCAACCUGGAAGAUUCUGGACUGAAGGAUCUCUGUGGUUUUCUACAGACUGAAGGCUGCAGACUGGAGACAUUGAGGUAUUUUAAUAAUAUAAUUAUUGAUAUUUCUGUGAAUAAUUAUUUAUAAUUGAUCAUAAAUCAAAGUUCAUUUCUUCUGUUCUAAUCAAUAUUUUCUGAGUUUGUUCCUGGACUUGGAUCCAGAGUUUAAUUUAGUCCCUCUGUGUAACUGAGUUGGACCUGCUGACCUGAGGUCAGAACAGGACAGCAUUCGGACCCCCGGUGUGUAGAAAUCCCCCUCAUGUGAAGCAGGUCAAAGGUCAUUCAACCCAGUCUAGAAAAGUGAAUCCUGGAAUCUGACAGGAACAAAUCAAUAAUCAAUGAUUGAUGCUUCAACACUUUGAUCAGAACCUGGAAUGAUUUUACUGACUAAAAUCCUCCAACACAACACGACCCAGUACCAGGUUCUGGUUCUGGUUCUGGUUCUGAAGUCAGCAGGUCUUUAUUGAAGCAGCAGCUUGUUGGCAUUAAUAUUCAUGAGAAUCUUUAACUGGUUCUGUUGGACUGGUUAACCUGCAUCCUGUUGGUUCAGCUCAUCUUUUAUUCUUUAUUCAGAUUGCAGAGCUGCAGUUUGUCAAAGAUCAGCUGUGAUUAUUUGGCUUCAGCUCUGAAGUCCAACAGCCUCCAUCUGAAAGAACUGGACCUGAGAGGAAACAACCUGAAGGAUUCAGAUGUUCAGCAGCUGAAGGAUCUUGUAGAUGAUCUAAAGUUCUGAUCUCUGUAAAGUAGAGAAUGAUCUCUGUGUCCUGCUGAUCCUCAGAGGUUGAAGCUGCAGCAGUUUGAGUCUAAAGAGACUCUGACUGGAUCAUGAUGAUGACCUCUGACCUCCAAGAUUUUCCUCCUGUUUGUUUUCUCAUGUCUGUCAUUUAGUGUCUGAUAUUGUUUGUCUCUUUGGAUCAAUAAAGAUCCAAUUCAAACUGGGCUCCAUUUAGAGGCUUCAUGGAGUUUUGAUCUGAACUGGAUUCAACUGGAAAGUUGAUCUUUUUUCUCUCUGAUUCAUUUUCAUCCUGGAACCAGAACUGGUCUGAGAAUGGAAACAUGGGAAUCAUUUCCAGUUCAGCUUUGAAGCCAUGAAAGACACUUCAACCCUCUUUUCUCUGCUGCUUCUUCCUUCUGUUGACAUGAAAAUGUUCCUCAAAGCUCCUCAGAGAAAAAGAUGCUUUACUGGAAACUGGAGAGAAACUUCAGCUUCCAUCACAGAAACCAGUUUAACCAGUUUAGAACUGGAUGUCCCACAGAAACUCUGAUCUUAGAGCAGUUUUCAGGAACAUCCAUCUUUUAUCUGGAAAAAAAUAUAUAGAUAUAUAUAUUGUGAUGGAAAAAUUACAAUAAGGUCACAUCUGCUACUCAUGUUAUGUGAAAUGCUUAUGAACUCUCACCAAAAGAACUAUUUGGGUUUCAUGUUCAAGGUUGGAAGUUUGUUUUCCACAGCUGCCAUCCCAUAACCUUGCAUAAAACCCAUGUAUAGUUUUUGCUUGGCAGUGCUUUGCAUCCAGACUUGCUUCAUUACUGAUUGUCCUAUGAGCUCUCGCUAUAUUAUGCACAAUAUAUGAAUAAACCUGAUUGAGUGAUUUUACCUGAACAGUGCUUGGAAAUAGUAUAUUUCCAAGAAAAUGUAUAAAUAAGUUUUGCAUCAUAGUUAUUGUUGGAAAAUUGAUUUUAUCAGAAAGUUAAUGUUUUCAUAUUAUUAUUCUGUUGUGUUUUUUACUAGGCUCCUGUUCUUUCAUGAUACUUUAUUAACUGUUUCAGGACGUCUACUUUAGACUGUUGUAUCUCCAGGUUUUAACACUUGUCCAACAACCCCUGACCAAAAUCCCACUGAACUCCAGAAAAACACAACAUAUUUCUGACAUGAAUAUCCAAAAACGCCAACCAAGUAAUGAAUGUAACAACAUGGAUGAGAUCUUGUAACAAAGAUUGGCCUCAUUGUUCUGAUGGAUGUUAUUGGUUUAAUUAACGGACUGCUUUGUUUUCUUGACAGAUGUAUAAUUUGUCUGAAUAAACCUGCAAAUAAAGAUAUUUAACGUCA